rnacentral:rRNA from 1 species
CCUACGGGAGGCAGCAGUGAGGAAUAUUGGUCAAUGGACGAGAGUCUGAACCAGCCAAGUAGCGUGAAGGAUGACUGCCCUAUGGGUUGUAAACUUCUUUUAUAUGGGAAUAAAACGUUCCACGUGUGGGAUUUUGUAUGUACCAUAUGAAUAAGGAUCGGCUAACUCCGUGCCAGCAGCCGCGGUAAUACGGAGGAUCCGAGCGUUAUCCGGAUUUAUUGGGUUUAAAGGGAGCGUCGGUGGAUUGUUAAGUCAGUUGUGAAAGUUUGCGGCUCAACCGUAAAAUUGCAGUUGAAACUGGCAGUCUUGAGUACAGUAGAGGUGGGCGGAAUUCGUGGUGUCGCGGUGAAAUGCUUAGAUAUCACGAAGAACUCCGAUUGCGAAGGCAGUUCACUGGACUGCAACUGACACUGAGGCUCGAAAGUGUGGGUAUCAAACAGGAUUAGAUACCCCAGUAGUC